rnacentral:rRNA from 1 species
CCUACGGGUGGCAGCAGUGGGGAAUAUUGCACAAUGGGGGGAACCCUGAUGCAGCGACGCCGCGUGAGUGAAGAAGUAUUUCGGUAUGUAAAGCUCUAUCAGCAGGGAAGAAAAUGACGGUACCUGACUAAGAAGCCCCGGCUAACUACGUGCCAGCAGCCGCGGUAAUACGUAGGGGGCAAGCGUUAUCCGGAUUUACUUGGUGUAAAGGGAGCGCAGACGGCUGUGCAAGUCUGGAGUGAAAGGCGGGGGCGCAACCCCGGGACUGCUCUGGAUACUGUAAAGCUAGAGUGCAGGAGAGGUAAGCGGAAUUCCUAGUGUAGCGGUGAAAUGCGUAGAUAUUAGGAGGAACACCAGUGGCGAAGGCGGCUUACUGGACUGCAACUGACGUUGAGGCUCGAAAGCGUGGGGAGCAAACAGGAUUAGAUACCCCAGUAGUC